UGUUGUUUGUAGAGUCGAUAUGUAUGGGAUGAGAGUGAAGAAGAUAUGAUUCGAACUGCUUGGGAAAAGGUAGGAAAAGAAAGACUGCGAGACAUUCUUAAUAGAGUUAGGAGUGAAUUGUUGCGUAAGCACAAGAAGACAGAUGUUGCUUAUCUAUACAAUUUAGGACCAGAUUGGAUGGAUGGAAAUUUCUGGAAGUAGUAAAGGGAGGGUUUAUGGUUUUGGAUCUUCUGAUAUUGCAAAAUCUGGAACUCCAACUACCUCUUUCUCAUGCACAUCAGCUCAUCCUGGAGCAAAUGCAAGAGCAAAUGCAAGAGCAAAUGCAAGAGCAAAUGCGAGUGCAGAUAGAAAAGCAAAUAAAAGAUCAGAUGAAAUCAUUGAAGAACAAAAAAAGAUCUUCACCGCAUAAUCCAACUGCAGAUUGUACUUCUCUAUCAGAUGGUUCAACAAAUUCAUAGAUUAGUUUUUAGUUUUAUGAACAUUGUUAAGUAUAAUUGAUUUAUUUUAAAUUUUAUGAUGAUUGUUAAGUAUUAUGAAUUUAUUUUAAAUUUUAUGAACAUUGUUAAAUAUUAUGGAUUUAUUUUAAAUAUUUUGAAUAUUAUUGAGUAUUAUGAACAUUACUUAUAAUUAUUAUGAAUGAUAUUUAAUUUAUAUUCAAUAUGAUUCUUAAUUAUAAAUUAUUUGAUUAUACAGGGAAUAUGUAAAUAAAAACAGGGAAUUAUUUU
rnacentral:lncRNA from 1 species